GGGAUUGUCAACAUUGGAAGCCAUCCAUGUGUUCUGUGAUAUCUGACCACCAACAAACAUCAGGUGACUUGCGGCAGCUAAGGCGAAGUAGAGGUAUCCUUUGUUCUGACUCAGGUACUGAAUGUAAGGCUUGAAUCCUGUGUCCCCUACUUCCCUUUCUUCCUGCUUAAUCAGUUGAUCACCUUUGGCUACCACCUGAUUUUGUUGGUUUUCCACGUAAGUUUUCUUGAUCUCCUUGGAAGUUGAUGAUCCUUGUUUCUGUGCAGCAGUAACUUCAGCAAGCCUUUCGGACCCUCCAGCUGUUUCCUUAUGCGCGUUGACGAGAUCCUGAAACUCUUGGCUUGAUGCCAAUAACUCUUGGUAAGGAGCUGCUUGCAGGAUUUCUCCAUC
rnacentral:lncRNA from 1 species